GAUAAGGUUAAGUGAAUAAGGGCGCACGGUGGAUGCCUUGGCACUAGGAGCCGAUGAAGGACGGGACUAACACCGAUAUGCUUUGGGGAGCUGUACGUAAGCUAUGAUCCAGAGAUUUCCGAAUGGGGGAACCCAACAUCUUUAAUAGGAUGUUACGAUUGUGUGAAUACAUACCACCUUCUAGGUAGACGAAGAGAACUGAAACAUCUAAGUACCUGCAGGAAGAGAAAGAAAAGUC
rnacentral:rRNA from 1 species